rnacentral:rRNA from 1 species
GGAGAAAAGCAGGGGAUCGCAAGACCUCGCGCUAUUAGAGUGGCCGAUGUCCGAUUAGCUAGUUGGUGGGGUAAUGGCCCACCAAGGCAACGAUCGGUAGCUGGUCUGAGAGGAUGAUCAGCCACACUGGGACUGAGACACGGCCCAGACUCCUACGGGAGGCAGCAGUGGGGAAUUUUGGACAAUGGGCGCAAGCCUGAUCCAGCCAUGCCGCGUGAGUGAAGAAGGCCUUCGGGUUGUAAAGCUCUUUCGGCCGGAACGAAAUCGUCCGAGCUAAUACCUCGGAUGGAUGACGGUACUGGAAGAAGAAGCACCGGCUAACUACGUGCCAGCAGCCGCGGUAAUACGUAGGGUGCAGGCGUUAAUCGGAAUUACUGGGCGUAAAGCGUGCGCAGGCGGCUUCCUAAGUCAGAUGUGAAAUCCCCGGGCUUAACCUGGGAACUGCGUUUGAAACUACAAAGCUAG